rnacentral:rRNA from 1 species
AGUGAACGCUGGCGGUAGGCCUAACACAUGCAAGUCGAACGGCAGCACAGUAAGAGCUUGCUCUUACGGGUGGCGAGUGGCGGACGGGUGAGGAAUACAUCGGAAUCUACUUUUUCGUGGGGGAUAACGUAGGGAAACUUACGCUAAUACCGCAUACGACCUACGGGUGAAAGCAGGGGAUCUUCGGACCUUGCGCGAUUGAAUGAGCCGAUGUCGGAUUAGCUAGUUGGCGGGGUAAAGGCCCACCAAGGCGACGAUCCGUAGCUGGUCUGAGAGGGUGAUCCGCCACACUGGAACUGAGACACGGUCCAGACUCCUACGGGAGGCAGCAGUGGGGAAUAUUGGACAAUGGGCGCAAGCCUGAUCCAGCCAUACCGCGUGGGUGAAGAAGGCCUUCGGGUUGUAAAGCCCUUUUGUUGGGAAAGAAAAGCAGCAGGUUAAUACCCCGCUGUUCUGACGGUACCCAAAGAAUAAGCACCGGCUAACUUCGUG